rnacentral:rRNA from 13 species
GCUUAACACAUGCAAGUCGAGCGGUAACAGGGGGUGCUUGCACCCCGCUGACGAGCGGCGGACGGGUGAGUAAUGCAUAGGAAACUGCCCAGUAGUGGGGGAUAGCCCGGGGAAACCCGGAUUAAUACCGCAUACGUCCUUCGGGAGAAAGCAGGGGAUCUUCGGACCUUGCGCUAUUGGAUGUGCCUAUGUCGGAUUAGCUGGUUGGUGAGGUAAUGGCUCACCAAGGCGACGAUCCGUAG